UCCCUACGGGGGGCAGCAGUGGGGGAUAUUGCACAAUGGGGGAAACCCUGAUGCAGCGACGCCGCGUGUAGGAAGACGGUCCUCUGGAUUGUAAACUACUGUCCCCAGGGACGAAGAUGACGGUACCUGGGGAGGAAGCUCCGGCUAACUACGUGCCAGCAGCCGCGGUAAUACGUAGGGAGCGAGCGUUGUCCGGAGUUACUGGGUGUAAAGGGAGCGUAGGCGGGGAUGCAAGUUGGGCGGUAAAUUUACCGGCCCAUCUG
rnacentral:rRNA from 1 species